AAGGAGCGGGCAUGUUCUGCGCUGUGUCCAGAGAAAUUUCUGAUCACUCUGAAUCCUGCCAAAAGCCAGUCCAUUUGCUGUCUGGGCUCAGCCUUUUCCACUCCUCUAGACAUGACGGCUGGGAAUGCAGAGACAGGAUUAUCUUCACCCCGGACCUGGCUUUGUCUGUUGCUGUGGAGGGAUGCGCACAGGAGCUCACAGGAACUUGAGGGAAUGCUGACAUCAGCUCAGCUUCUCCAGCCACCAAAGCCCUGGACAGACCUGCAAGAAGUGCAGAGAGGAUCAACACACAAGCCUCGAGUUGGGCCUGGAGCCUUCAGUAGCAGGCAGCUGGAGACACCACCACAGAAAUGAGCUUUUAAGACCCUGGGCUGAGUGGCCAGGAACACCUAUUCCUCUGUGGGAGGAAAGAACACAGCUAUUUACCUCCUGUGCCCGAUCCAAACCCAGCGAAUCCACUGCUCGGGGUCCCAAAGCCUGAGGUCUGCUGGGACAAGGACCCGAAGGUGGGUGCGUUCUGACUGGCGAGGGUACCGAAGGAUGCAGUAUUGCCGCUGCUCCCGAACCUGGGUGCGGUGAGAAUGGGACAGGGUUGUCAUGGCCCUAGUCCUCAUGCUGCCCACACCUCACUCACUGUCACCUGUCUUGGAUGUACCACACAGGAGCUGUGGUGACAAGCUUGGACCAAGUCAACAGACUCAGAGGAAACCGGCUUCUAGCCCAGAGUAAGCCUUUACCGUGGCUCUGAGAAGGAAGACAUCAGAAACAUAGUGUGAGAUCCACCUGGGGACCUCUGAGUUCUUAGCACUGACUAACUGCAGGUCCCUGAGAGCAAACACACUUCCCGCUCUCCUCCCGGACACCCUCACUGAGAGCGACAUUCUCAUCUCUUCACCUGCAUGGCCUCAUCCCUGCCAGUCCCCCUCUGCCUUGGCGACUCUAUGUUGCCUAGGCUGGCCUCAAAUACUCCUCCUGCUUCAGCCUCCUGAGGGCUGGUUUCACAAGCUAGUGCUGUGGAGUCUGGUGAUUCCACUCCUUCUAUCCUUUGCUGGGAUGUGCGUCACCACACCUGGUUACAGUGGAAGCGCGAGCUAAGGCUUCCUGAGGGCUCAGCACGCCUCCCACUGAGCUGCAUGCCCAGCUCUCCAUUCACUUUUUAGUAAGACUACGUGUGUGUGAUGUGUGUGCGGAUGCUGGCAUGCGUGUGACAGAGUGUCAUGGCGGUCAGAGGACAACCAUAGAGAAUACAUUCUUUCCUUCCAUCAAUGUUUGAGGCAGCAGCUUUCACGGUGAGCGCUUUUACUUACUAAGCCUAUCGGUGGCCUAUCUGCUUUAAUGACUUGGUUUACCAAGGGCCCCCUGCAUAUGAGAUAUGAAGAUAAGUCAUCAUGUUUCCCUUUCGUGUGUGUGUGUGUGAGGGGACACUUUCCAAGUUAUUUCACGCAGAAUUGUGUUUCAUAAAAAUCAAUAAAUACACGAAGCAACG
ensembl:processed_transcript Gm16534 predicted gene 16534